AAGGAAGGACAGAAAUCAAUAAGUACUGCUAAUACUUAUCCCCAAGGGUUAAAAUCCUCGGCUUCUUUG
rnacentral:tRNA from 1 species